UACGUAGGGGGCAAGCGUUGUCCGGAUUUAUUGGGCGUAAGGAGCGUGUAGGCGGCCAGGUAGGCCGGCUGUGAAAACUCGAGGCUCAACCUCGAGCUGUCGGCCGAAACCAUCUGGCUAGAGUCCGGAAGAGGAGAAUGGAAUUCCCGGUGUAGCGGUGAAAUGCGCAGAUAUCGGGAAGAACACCCGUGGCGAAGGCGGUUCUCUGGGACGGUACUGACGCUGAGACGCGAAAGCGUGGGGAGCGAACAGG
rnacentral:rRNA from 1 species